ACGAGAGGACCGGAGUGGACGAACCUCUGGUGUUCCGGUUGUCACGCCAGUGGCAUCGCCGGGUAGCUAAGUUCGGAAGGGAUAACCGCUGAAAGCAUCUAAGCGGGAAGCCCACCUCGAGAUGAGUUCUCACCAAAUCUUCAAGAUUUCUGUAGGGCCCUCGUAGACUACGAGGUUGAUAGGCGGGAUGUGGAAGCGUUGCAAGGCGUUAAGCUAACCCGUACUAAUUGCCCGUGAGGCUUGGCCAUAUAACC
rnacentral:rRNA from 1 species